CGAAGGGGCAUGAAGAGCUUUGCACCAUGUGACUCUUUUCAGAUGAUAGUCACCAACAAUACCUUCAGGGGACGGUACAACCACGGAACCUACAGUCACUGGAUCAAGCUCUCCCUGCCCAGUGCUUUGAAUCAUGACUGGAGUGAGGGGAAAUUGUAUAAACGGCUGCAAACCAAGCCCAUUGGUUACAGACAGUGUCUGCUAGCUGUAGACCAUGCCUGUUGGUUACAGACCAAGCCUGAUGGUUCUGGUGCACAAGACAGUCCCUGUGACUAAGAAUGACCCAACCACAAAUGCCGGCAGUGCUGUGGUGAAGGAGCCAUGCAGGAGAAUGGAUGUGGUAAAAGCAGGCUCACCAGGGUCAAACUGUCCAGUUUUAAGUCUGGAUCCAGCUCUUACGAAUGCUAUGGACUUGGGAAAUUACAUCCUUUUACUGAGCCUCAGUUUCCCCAUCUGUAAAUAAUGGGAUGAUAACGGCACCUGCCUCCUGGAUGCAGAGUUGGCUCAGCGCAGGGCAGCCAGGGCAGCCAGGGCAGCAUCUCCAGCUCUCUGCACCUCCGGACGGUGAGAGCUCCCUGCUUAAUAACGAGCCGGGCUCUGGGACACUUACCCCCUGCCU
rnacentral:lncRNA from 1 species